rnacentral:rRNA from 1 species
GAUGAACGCUGGCGGCGUGCCUAAUACAUGCAAGUCGAGCGAACAGACGAGGAUCUUGCUCCUCUGACGUUAGCGGCGGACGGGUGAGUAACACGUGGAUAACCUACCUAUAAGACUGGGAUAACUUCGGGAAACCGGAGCUAAUACCGGAUAAUAUAUUUAACCGCAUGGUUCAAUAGUGAAAGACGGUUUUGCUGUCACUUAUAGAUGGAUCCGCGCCGCAUUAGCUAGUUGGUAAGGUAACGGCUUACCAAGGCAACGAUGCGUAGCCGACCUGAGAGGGUGAUCGGCCACACUGGAACUGAGACACGGUCCAGACGCCUACGGGAGGCAGCAGUAGGGAAUCUUACGCAAUGGGCGAAAGCUUGACGGAGCAACGCCGCGUGAGUGAUGAAGGUCUUCGGAUCGUAAAAAUCUGUUAUUAGGGAAGAACAAAUGUGUAAGUAACUAUGCACGGCGUGACGGUACCUAAUCAGAAAGCCACGGCUAACUACGUG